UCGGGAAUUUUGGGCAAUGGGCGAAAGCCUGACCCAGCAACGCCGCGUGAAGGAUGAAGUAUUUCGGUAUGUAAACUUCGAAAGAAUAGGAAGAAUAAAUGACGGUACUAUUUAUAAGGUCCAGCUAACUACGUGCCAGCAGCCGCGGUAAUACGUAGGGACCAAGCGUUGUUCGGAUUUACUGGGCGUAAAGGGCGCGUAGGCGGCAAUUCAAGUCAUCUGUGAAAUCUCCGGGCUUAACUCGGAACGGUCAGAUGAUACUGCUUUGCUAGAGUGCAGAAGGGGCAAUCGGAAUUCUUGGUGUAGCGGUGAAAUGCGUAGAUAUCAAGAGGAACACCUGAGGUGAAGACGGGUUGCUGGGCUGACACUGACGCUGAGGCGCGAAAGCCAGGGGAGCAAACGGGAUUAGAUACCCCCGUAGUCCCUGAGCGGGCUGGCAAGGCGCAU
rnacentral:rRNA from 1 species